rnacentral:lncRNA from 1 species
UGAGCAGUCCCAUCAGCUCUAGUGUGAAGGAGGUAGUGGCCCAAGGUUUCUCAAGGCCUCAGAGUCUCUGCUAAAUUAUUCUUCUUCUCAAAUUGCCUCCACACUUCAGGAGCAAGCACAAUCAUAGUUCAUUGGUGGAAUACACACUUCCGAAGCAAUUUUAAAAUAAUCGCACUGUAUGCUAAACCUUGGGAAGGAGACAAAAAGAAAAAGCCCGCAGCCAAGUCAUUCUAGCCUGAGCAGCGACGACAGGAUUUCAUAAUUAGGAAACGCGGUGUCAUUUCUGAACGCUAAGGCACCUUUGAAACACCUUACCGAACGUAGCCUCUGUGGCUGGAGAGGAUGUUGCUUUGCAAAGCCUCCCAAACAUGAGGGCUGGAAUUUGGAUCUUCAGAACCCAUGUGAAUGCCAGUGC